GUUGGUGUCUUCCUGCAAAAGGGCUUUGAAGUUGCAUAGAAUGUACACAUUGGUUCUUUGAGAGAUGCUGUGUUGGUAGACAAUUAACUGAUUUGCUGGUCUUUGCGCUUUCCUUUGAGUACGCUGAGGCUGAUGGUGUGUGGCUGCUCUUCCUCUGAGUCUGAAGCUAUCAGGACACACAUGUUUCCAAGGCUAUCUUACAGAACAAAAAUCAAAUUAUUUUUAAAAGCCCAGUCCCAAAGCCUUGGCAUGCAGAGCAGAAGAUAGAAGACUUGUAACAGAUGGCUCCAAAAUGCCCUCACAGCACUGAUGUUGGUAACAGGUCAGUGAUCACCACAGGCUGAGAACAUAUUGGUAACUCAGAUAGGGGCACGUUACAUUGAAUGGCCAGGCACAUCAUCUUGAAGCACUGAAACUUGAUGCUUGUUCUUAAAGUUGUUAAGCAGCUUUCCUGCUAAAUACCAGCAUAUUUCUUCAGCAAAUUGGAUUCUGUGCUUUAUCUUGGCUUGUCUUAGUUAAAGCUGUGAUCACAUUGGUUCAAGCCAUCAGAACUCAUGGCGUAAUUUAGAGUGUGAGACUAAGGAGGUGAAUAUGGGAUGUUUAGCAGUGUUUUAGGUAUCUUUUCCUAAUUGAUUCUUAUGUACUCAGAGGAUCACUAGGUGGGAAUGAUUGGAAUGGAAGGCUUUAAUUUGGUAUUUGUAAUUUGGGAGGUAGGAAGUAGAGCUGAAUUUUCAGCACACUAUCAGGGCAACUUGAAAUGGAUGUGUGGCCAAGUAAGCUUCCUGUGAUGGCACAUAGCAGGAAAGUCUUUUAUCUAAGUGUGCUUAUAGGGUAAUAGAUACCAUAGACAUAGAAUGGUAGAAUCAUGGAUGUGUUAGAGAUGGAUCAGUUAAGAAUUAGAAGUGAUUCAAUGAUAGAAUAAGGCUUGCUGUGGCUGGUAUUAAUCUUAUUCUGGUGUCGGUGGUAUAUAAAUGCCUUCUUAGUUUUGGUUUAUGUGCUCACCACAAUGCAAAUAGCUUCUUGCUGUGUAGUCUGGGGAAAAGCAAUGCAUACAAUCCUGCCUUUAUUUCCCAGUCUUCACAAGGAGGAUUACACAUCUUACUCUUGGACGUGAUCUAUGCACAACUAACCAAGACUUGAUAAAGUACUUAGUUACUGGGAAGUGCUUACUUCCUAAUUCAGUGGAGGUGCCAUUUGUUUGACACUUGAUCCUCUUAAACGCUGAGGAGAGAAUGAAAUUGAAAUCUGUCAGAAACGAAGUAAAAAAUGGACCCUUUGAAAUACACGCAGGAGCUGAGGUUUGAAGAACUGGUUGAGGUUUGAAGCGAGUGAUGAAAGUGCUCAUUUCUUUAUACGUGUCUGAAUGAGAACAGCUGUCUGCUGGGGGUUCUGCUGCGGUAAUUGCUGCGAGUGAAAGGCGAUUAGGCUAGGAGAGGAAAAAUACUGAGGGGUAAGUAAAAGAGGAUGUGCC
rnacentral:lncRNA from 1 species